rnacentral:lncRNA from 1 species
UGUUUCAAACUUGUUUGGUUUCACAUGCUUCUCGUUGAGGAACAUUAUCUCAUGCAUCAUUAGCUCUUUGGCUUUGUGAGUUUCUUUGUCAUCAUUCUCCUGUGUUUCUUGGAGCUUAAGCAGCCUGUCUGGACAAUUCGAUGUAUAUACUUCUUCCGAGGAAUUAUCUUUAGAAACUUCUUGACUAGCUUAGGUUCUUCGAUACUUGUUCCCAACACAGCUGAUUUUGUGUAAAUUUCGG